UUCUGACCUCCCAAUUUGCCCUCAUACGCUUGACCAGCAAAACCUUAGCGUAGCUGCAUUCAUCAAUGGCUCUAUUCAGGCAAUAAUGGCUCAGACAAAAGAUUAAAUUAAAACAGAUCCCACAAGUCUCCUUAGUAUAUUCACAACAUGCUUUGGCCUCUAUGGCACUUCCAUAUAACCUUCUCCGUAUCCCAAUAUUGACAAUUCCUAGUUCGGAAAUGACAAACAUAAUAUUAGAACAAGAGAAGAAGGGAAGCUGGUGAGAAAGAAAGAACAGACUAGACUGGGUGCAGAAAUCAUAUCAUCCAUUUGCUGUCUGUCCUCGAGUGCAUCCUGGGGCCUGGCCCAUGGCAGGCUGAUUGGAAAUGCAUACUGAACGAGUCAAUCUCCUCAAGAAGGUCACAACCCAGGUAAGAAGUGGAGUCUACACAUUACACCAAGUUCAGAUAGAGAAUCAAAGCCACCUCUUCGGCUCCAGAUAUGCAGGGAGGACAAAGCAUGAGAGCAUAUGCCUUCAGCAAGGAGACAGGUGCGUGCUUCCUGUUUACCUGGGCAGAUAUUUGCAAAUAGUCUAAGAAGGGGGGCAACUAGGAGUGACUUACACAGUUCUAAGUGAAUGGUUAUGCAAAUCGCUUGAGCAAAUACAGGGAAAGAAACAGGAAAGGCUUCUGAACUGGUUUUCCUCCUCUGCCCCAGUAUUUUCAGAGGGUACGGUGAAAGACAAAAAACCCGAAGGCUCCGGGCCAACCGCAAAGCUACUCUCCAGGAGGAACUCUUGCCUCCUCGCCUGUGGAAAAGGAUCCAAAGCAUUGGUUUACACUGCUAUUUACAAGCAACUGAAGAAGGUAAUCAUGUGAAGCCAAUGAAAUAAUAAACAGGACCACUUCGGAUGACCCAUAAGGCAGAUCUGCUCCCCAAAAGUUUACUCUUGAAUGUUGACGAAGGUUGAGCUAGGCAAAAUGGUAAAUUCACACACACGGUAUGUAGCCCCUUCCCCAACCCCAGUCUCCAUUACCAGGGGCAAGUUGUAACCUAACUGCCUCCUUUUACCCACACACCCAUCUCCUGCCCAGUCUUUAUGCCUGGUGAUAUGACACCCCAUUCCCUCUUAAUUAACUGUGCUUAUAGGGAAGCAUCUGGAUACGCUAUGCAUUUAAUCUGUGAGGAGUCGAUCAUUUACUCAUCAUUGACAGUAAUGCUCAUUCCUGUGUCAUUUCAGAGGACUUCUGGAGUGGAUGGAGACACAUGCCACCAAUAGAUGCAUUUCAGUCUGUCUUCCGGGCCUCCUUUAGAGGUCUCCCUCUCUUACCCACCUGUCACACGCCCAUGUCUUCCACAGCCAAACCUGUCCCCAACUUUUUGUUCUCACUAAAGUCCAAAUGACAGAAAUUUAGCUGGAUUAGUACUUACCUUCGCCUUGAAGGAAAGGGAAGUGCUCAUUAGCUUCUUACAUUGGAACAGGUCUGCAGGUGAAAAUGAAGCUGUGCUCAUCUCUGGCAGGAAGGUUGGGCAUGAGGUGUCUAGUCCUAAUGAGCAGCGUUUAUUUGGUGGGUGCCUCCCACUUGCCACUUUCUACACAGCCACCUGAGUAUCACUCCAGUUAGUCUGAGCAUAUGAAACACAUGCAACUCCCUAGACCCACCAUGCUUUUUCAUGACUCUGAACACACAGCAGUGCCUCCUCCGCUAAGAACACAGUUCCCCACUACCAAGCUUUGCUUUGCCCAACAGACCCCUUCCCCUUAGGACGAGAUUCAGUGGAUAAUGACAUCAUAAUCAAUCAUGACCCUCUGGGAAGCCGCCUCUCUCAUCCUGGGUUGUAUGUCUCCUCUCCACACUCCCUCAGCACCCUUUGCCUCCCUCUUUCAUAGAAUCUACCAUACGAGAUUUUAACUGUUUAUCUUCCACUCGACGAUGAACUCCUUGAAGACUGAAUUUCUAGGACCUUUUGUUGGAUCUGCACAUUUGUGAAGUGAAUUACUGAAGGCUGCCCAGUUUCAUCUGCUCCUAGUCAAAACCUAAAUCCCUUAUUUCUAUGCUAUUUUUUGUCAGGUAAAAAUAAAACAUGUAAA